rnacentral:rRNA from 1 species
UACGUAGGGUGCAAGCGUUGUCCGGAAUUAUUGGGCGUAAAGAGCUCGUAGGCGGUUCGUCGCGUCGGCUGUGAAAACCUGAGGCUCAACCUCAGGCCUGCAGUCGAUACGGGCGGACUUGAGUACUGCAGGGGAGACUGGAAUUCCUGGUGUAGCGGUGAAAUGCGCAGAUAUCAGGAGGAACACCGGUGGCGAAGGCGGGUCUCUGGGCAGUAACUGACGCUGAGGAGCGAAAGCAUGGGGAGCAAACAGG